AUUGAACGCUGGCGGCAGGCCUAACACAUGCAAGUCGGGCGAAUCUAGCUUGCUAGAUGAGCGGCGAACGGGUGAGUAACGCGUAGGAAUCUGCCUGGUAGUGGGGGACAACGUUCCGAAAGGGGCGCUAAUACCGCAUACGCCCUACGGGGGAAAGCUGGGGACCUUCGGGCCUAGCGCUAUCAGAUGAGCCUGCGUCGGAUUAGCUAGUUGGUGGGGUAAAGGCCCACCAAGGCGACGAUCCGUAACUGGUCUGAGAGGAUGAUCAGUCACACCGGAACUGAGACACGGUCCGGACUCCUACGGGAGGCAGCAGUGGGGAAUAUUGGACAAUGGGGGCAACCCUGAUCCAGCCAUGCCGCGUGUGUGAAGAAGGCCUUCGGGUUGUAAAGCACUUUAGGUCGGGAGGAAGGUUCGCUGGCUAAUAUCCAGCGGAAUUGACGUUACCGACAGAAUAAGCACCGGCUAACUCCGUGCCAGCCGCCGCGGUAA
rnacentral:rRNA from 1 species